AUGAUUAACCAACAUUCAUUUAACGGAAAGCGGACAGUUCUAACAUGCAAGGCGGAGCAGUGCGGAACCACAAGCAUAACUUUUUCUUUGACAGCAACAAAGCAUAACUUCUUAAUACAACUCCUUACCACCAAAUUAGUGAAAACAGAGAGAGAGAGAGAGAGAGAGAGAGAGAGAGAGAGAGAGAGAGAGAGAGAGAGAGAGAGAGAGAGAGAGAGAGAGAGAGAGAGGUCAAUUACAUACAUGCUUCAUCUCCCCUCUCGCAAAAUGGUCGCUGAAGACUCACCCGAUACAGUGGCGACACUCAUUGCGGGCUGA
rnacentral:rRNA from 1 species